GCGGGUGUAGCUCAAUUGGUAGAGCUUCGGCCUUCCAAGCCGAUGGUUGAGGGUUCGAGCCCCUUCGCCCGCU
rnacentral:tRNA from 1 species